rnacentral:lncRNA from 1 species
UGCAGAAAAAGACAUUCUACAAAAAGCUUGUUGCAACUUGGCCGAGAUUGAAGGGCCCUCCAGGGUCCCUUGGCCCCCCUGGGGAUGCUGGACCUCCUGGACCCCCGGGAAUUACUGGAAAACAAGGACGAAAAGGAGAUGGAGGAAAAAUCGUAGGGUGGUCCUGGACCAACCGGGAUGCCCGGGCCUCCAGGAAGAACUGGGAGUGAUGGGAUUGAUGGUAUAAAUUCUGAUGAUGGCCCUGCAGGACCACCUGGGGAACAGGUAGGACACAUUUA